AGCGAACGCUGGCGGCAUGCCUAACACAUGCAAGUCGCACGGGGGGGCUUCGGCCUCCCAGUGGCGGACGGGUGAGGAACGCGUAGGGACCUGUCGAGGGGUGGGGGAUAACCGCGGGAAACUGCGGCUAAUACCGCAUGACGCCGCGGCGUGACAGCCGGGGCCAAAGGCGAAAGCCGCCCGCCGAGGGGCCUGCGUCCGAUUAGCUGGUUGGCGGGGUAGCGGCCCACCAAGGCGUCGAUCGGUAGCUGGUCUGAGAGGGUGAUCAGCCACACCGGGACUGAGACACGGCCCGGACUCCUACGGGAGGCAGCAGUGGGGAAUAUUGGACAAUGGGCGCAAGCCUGAUCCAGCAAUGCCGCGGGGGUGAAGAAGGUCUUCGGAUUGUAAAGCCCUUUCGGCGGGGACGAUGGUGACGGUACCCGCAGAAGAAGCCCCGGCUAACUUCGUG
rnacentral:rRNA from 1 species